rnacentral:rRNA from 1 species
CCUACGGGAGGCAGCAGUGAGGAAUAUUGGUCAAUGGACGAGAGUCUGAACCAGCCAAGUAGCGUGAAGGAUGACUGCCCUAUGGGUUGUAAACUUCUUUUAUAUGGGAAUAAAAUGUUCCACGUGUGGGAUUUUGUAUGUACCAUAUGAAUAAGGAUCGGCUAACUCCGUGCCAGCAGCCGCGGUAAUAUGGAGGAACCACGCGUUAGCCGGAUUUAUUGGGUUUAAAGGGAGCGUAGGUGGAUUGUUAAGUCAGUUGUGAAAGUUUGCGGAUCAACCGUAAAAUUGCAGUUGAAACUGGCAGUCUUGAAUACAGUAUGGGUGGGCGGAAUUCGUUGUGUAGCGGUGAAAU